GUACUGUGCGAACGUUAUUCGGAAUCACUGGGCUUAAAGGGUGCGUAGGCGGCUGGAUAAGUAGGGUGUGAAAUCCCUCGGCUCAACCGAGGAACUGCGCUCUAAACUGUCCGGCUUGAGUGAGAUAGGGGUGUGCGGAACUUCCAGUGGGGCGGUGAAAUGUGUUGAUAUUGGAAGGAACGCCGGUGGCGAAAGCGGCACACUGGGUCUCAACUGACGCUGAGGCACGAAAGCCAGGGUAGCGAACGGGGGAUUAGAUACCCCGGUAGUCCUGGCCGUAAACGUUGAGCACUAGUUGGGAGGGGCUUCGGCCCUCUUCGAACGUAGCGAAAGCAUUAAGUGCUCCGCCUGGGGAGUAUGGUCGCAAGGCUG
rnacentral:rRNA from 1 species